UUAAGCUAUUAAGGGCGCAUGGGGGAUGUCUUGGCGUCAAGAGGCGAUGAAAGGCGUGGAAGGCUGCGAUAAGCCCGGGGGAGCUGUCAAACGAGCACAGAUCCCGGGAUUCCUGAAUGAUCUAUACUGAAUCCAUAGGUAUAGGUGGCAAACGUAGGGAACUGAAACAUCUCAGUACCUACAGGAGAAGAAAGAAAUUUCGAUUUCCUCAGUAGCGGCGAGCGAACGGGAAAUAGCCCAAACCGUGGAGAUUUUCUCUGCGGGGUUGUAGGGCCUUUCACAUGGGAGUGAGCAAGUUGUUUUCUAGCUCAAUCGAUUGGAACGUCGAGCCAAAGAGGGUGAGAGCCCCGUCGGCGAAAGAAAACAACCUCCCGAGAGGUACCUGAGUAGGUCGGGUCACGUGGAACCCUGACUGAAUCUACGGGGACCAUCCCGUAAGGCUAAAUACUCCUUGACGACCGAUAGUGAACUGAGUAGGGCGACCGAAAGGUGGGAAGAACCCCGGGAGGGGAGGACACUGAACCUGAAACCAUGCGCUUACAAGCGGUCGGAGCACUAUGUUUACAUGUGUGACGGCGUGCCUUUUGCAUAAUGAUCCGGCGAGUUACUUUCAUUGGCUUGGUUAAGGUCUUCCGGACCGAAGCCUCAGAGAAAUCGAGUCCGAACAGGGCGUUUUGUCAGUGGGAGUAGACGCGAAACUGCGUGAUCUACCCAUGAGCAGGUUGAAGCGCGGGUAAUACCGCGUGGAGGACCGAACCCACUUGGGUUGAAAACCGAGGGGAUGACUUGUGGGGAGGAGUGAAAGUCUAAUCAAACGCAGAGAUAGCUCGUUCUCUCCGAAAUAGCUUUAGGGCUAGCCUCAAGGAACUACACAUUAGGGGUAGAGCGACUGAAUCGGUUUGGGGCCCUUACCCAGGGUACCCUGCUGAACCAAACUCCGAAUACUAAUGUGACUAUCUUGGGAGUCAGUCCACGGGGGAUAAGCUCCGUGGUCGAGAGGGAAACAACCCAGAUCGCCUGCUAAGGUCCCCAAAUCAAACUCAUACACGAAGGAAGUGGAACUGCGGUGACAGCUAGGAUGUUGGCUUAGAAGCAGCCACCAUUUAAAAAGUGCGUAAUAGCUUACUAGUCGAGCCGUUCCGCGCCGAAAAUGACCGGGAGUAAGUUUGAUACCGAAGCAGCGAAUGUCUUAUGACAUGGUAGGAGAGCGCUGGACGCUCGUUCAAGCCGUACCGAAAGGAGCGGUCGCGGGGCGUCCAGGUGAUUAUGCCGGAAUGAGUAACGAUUAAGCAGGUGAGAAUCCUGCUCGCCGAAUACCUAAGGUUUCCUGGGGAAGGUAAUUCCGCCCAGGGUGAGCCGGUCCCUAAGACGAGGCCGAAAGGCGUAGUCGAUGGAUAGCAGGUUAAUAUUCCUGCGCCGGCGUGAUGGACCGAUGGGGGGACGGCAUGUGUAAGGUCAGUCGGCCGGUUUAGAAAUGGCCGCGGACUCUUAGAACGUGAGGGAUAGGCAAAUCCGCCCUCAUUAGCGUUCUUUGAGGACCAACCCUUUAUUGGGGAUGUGAUCGACAGCAUGUCCAAGAAAAGCCUCUAAGGAUUGAAGUCACGUUGACCGUACUAAAACUGACACAGGUAGGUGAGACGAGAAGUCUCAGGCGCUCGGGAGAACACUGGUUAAGGAACUCUGCAAAAUGACCCCGUAAGUUCGCGAUAAGGGGUGCCCCCCGGGGUUCACGCUCUAGGGGGCCGCAGCAAAUCGGCUCGAACGACUGUUUAUCAAAAACACAGGACUCUGCUAACUCGCAAGAGGAUGUAUAGAGUCUGACGCCUGCCCGGUGCCGGUAGGUUAAGGAAGAGGGUUAGCCGUAAGGCGAAGCUCGCGACCGAAGCCCCGGUAAACGGCGGCCGUAACUAUGACGGUCCUAAGGUAGCGAAGUUCCUUGUCGGGUAAGUUCCGACCUGCAUGAAAGGCGUAACGAUUCGAGCACUGUCUCAACCAGUGACCCGGUGAAAUUGUAGUCGUGGUGAAGAUGCCACGUACCCGCAGCUAGACGGAAAGACCCCGUGAACCUUUACUGUAGGCUGAAAUUGGGCUGAGAUAUGUCUUGUGUAGGAUAGGUGGGAGGCUAUGAACCCGGAACGCCAGUUUCGGGGGAGCCGUCCUUGGAAUACCACCCUGGUCCUAUUUUAGUUCUAACCCUGAUCCUGUGAAACCAGGCAGGGAACAGUUUCAGUUGGGCAGUUUGACUGGGGCGGUCUCCUCCCAAAGAGUAACGGAGGAGUUCAAAGGUACCCUCAGCCUGGUUGGUAAUCAGGCGUCGAGUGUAAAGGCACAAGGGUGCUUAACUGCGAGACUGAUCAGUCGAGCAGAUACGAAAGUAGGACUUAGUGAUCCGGCGGUUCCGUAUGGAAGGGCCGUCGCUCAACAGAUAAAAGGUACUCCGGGGAUAACAGGCUUAUCGCGUCCGAGCGUCCAUAGCGGCGACGCGGUUUGGCACCUCGAUGUCGGCUCAUCGCAUCCUGGGGGUGAAGAAGCUCCCAAGGGUUUGGCUGUUCGCCAAUGAAAGCGGUACGUGAGCUGGGUUCAGACCGUCGUGAGACAGGUCGGUCCCUAUCUGCUGUGGGCGUACGAGACUUGAGAAGAUUCAUCCUUAGUACGAGAGGACUUGGAUGGACGUCCCUCUGGUGUACCAGUUGUCACGCUAGUGGCACGGCUGGAUAGCUAUGGACGGAACGGAUAAACGCUGAAAGCAUCUAAGCGUGAAGCCCGCUUCAAGAUCAGGUCUCGAUGAGCUUUACGCUCUGAAGUCCCCUGGAAGACGACCAGGUUGAUAGGCCGGAGGUGUAAGUGUAGUAAUACAUUCAGCUUACCGGUACUAACGGACAAACGCUUGACCAC
rnacentral:rRNA from 1 species